rnacentral:tRNA from 1 species
GGCUCCUUGGUCAAGCGGUUAACACGCCGCCCUUUCACGCCGGAGACGCGGGUUCGAUUCCCGUAGGAGUCACCA